GUAUAUAUAGUAUAAAAAAUAUGAUAGAUUUAGGUUCUAUAGAUGGUUUAUAUACU
rnacentral:tRNA from 1 species